AGGUCCCCUUAGCAGGGAUGAAAGUGUGUUUCCACAUCCAGAGUCACUUUUUAAUAAAGUGCUGUUACUGAAAAGCUAAUCAUGGAAAGAUCUUAAGUAACUUCCAGCUUCAUUACUGUUUAUCCAGAACAGAGUCGUGGUAAAACUACAGGAAACAAACACAGACCUACAGAGAAAACAUCCACAGCCACAGAAACUUCACAGAAGACACCAACUCACACUGGUUCCCAUACUAACCUCAUAAACACAGGGACAGUCUGUACUACAGCAGACAGUCCUGAAGACAACAAUGGUCAUACAGAAACUACACUGAAGACACCAACUCAUACUGGUUCCCAUACUAACCAUACAAAUCACACAACUGUAGUUGCACCAACUAACGCAGGACUCCUGCCAGGUAUCGGGGCUGCAGCUGCUGUGUUUGGAGCUGUGUGUCUGGCUGUCGUCGUCAUGGUGACGUACAGGAGGAGGGCAGAUGGUUCUUCACCUCCCCGUAUGUCAGAGAAUCACAUGACAUCCAAUCCGAAGACGACAGAGGACGAAGUCACCUACUCCAUGGUCAAUCAUCCGGCACCGAAAAAGAGAGAGAGAGCAAAUUCUGACAACUUUACAGAAUACGCCACCGUCAGAACUGGGGCCUAAUCCUCUCAGUAUCAGAACUUUUACAUGAAAUAUGUACAUAUAUACACACUCUUAAUAGCCGCUAUUAUCACCGUUGCAAAUAUACACUCCUUUAUUAGGUUACUUUUUGACACUCUGUAUGGCUCUUGCUCCAGUGCUAACUUGCUCUUGCCACUGGGCAUUAACUGGAAGCUCAGCCCAGCUGCACUUAUGCCCAGUUGGCUCCUUUACAGCUGCAUGCUUGUGCAGUGCCGGUCAGUCCUACAGGCGACAUAGGCGACCGCCUAGGGGGGGUAACUUCUGAAGGGGCGUCAGCUUCCCCUGCAGUUUGACUUUGCCUCAGAUGGGGGGGCGACAGCGGUGAUGCUUGCCUAGGGCACCACACAGGCUUGGACUGGUACUGCGCUUGUGAUUUACUCUCUGCCUCACUUGUGCGUCACUUUGGACAAAAGUCCAAACGAACAUGAAUGUGAGUUUUAAUUAAAAACCUUCUAAUUGGCUCUGGUCCGUCUCCAACAGCCCACAAUAUACCAUGGAGAAAACGGUUUGCAUUUAAUGAAAUAUUUUAUUAUAUGUGAUUAUGUGAAACCGGCAUA